rnacentral:rRNA from 1 species
CAGUAGCCACGGGAAUACGAGGGGGGCUAGCGUUGCUCGGAAUGACUGGGCGUAAAGGGCGCGUAGGCGGAUUGUUUAGUUAGGCGUGAAAUUCCAGGGCUUAACCUGGGGACUGCGCUUAAUACAGGCAGUCUAGAGUGAGGAAGAGGGUUGUGGAAUUCCCAGUGUAGAGGUGAAAUUCGUAGAUAUUGGGAAGAACACCGGUGGCGAAGGCGGCAACCUGGUCCUUGACUGACGCUGAGGCGCGAAAGCGUGGGGAGCAAACAGGAUUAGAUACCCCGGUAGUCCCUGUCUCUUAUAC